rnacentral:rRNA from 1 species
UACGUAGGGUGCAAGCGUUGUCCGGAAUUAUUGGGCGUAAAGAGCUCGUAGGCGGUUUGUUGCGUCGGCUGUGAAAUCCCGAGGCUCAACCUCGGGCCUGCAGUCGAUACGAGCAAACUAGAGUGUUGCAGGGGAGACUGGAAUUCCUGGUGUAGCGGUGAAAUGCGCAGAUAUCAGGAGGAACACCGGUGGCGAAGGCGGGUCUCUGGGCAACAACUGACGCUGAGGAGCGAAAGCGUGGGGAGCGAACAGG